GUCCCCUCCUCACUCUCUUGCUCUCUUGCUCUUGCCCUCUCCCCCUUCCCCAAUCCCCUUCCCUCCACGUGCUCAUGGCCGACCUUUACUCCUCUUCUACCCUUCUCUCAUUAACCCUCUCCACUUGGCAACCAUGUUGGCCUGGUGUGGUUUGUCCAGUCGCGAGCCGAGAUUUCUGCCCCAACAAAGACACUUGCUCUCCUGUUCUAUUCCUUCACGACUGUUACAGUUUGGAUCUUUAAAAUUUGUUUUGUUUUAUGUAAAUGGGUAUUUAGAUUGCGUGUUUGUCCGCGCAUCGUUUGCAUGCCUGCUGACCUUUUGAAACCAGAAGAGGGUGUUGGAGUCCCUGGAAUUUAAGUUACAGAAGGUUGUGAGCCACCAAGUGGGUGUCGGGAAGUGGAAACGAGUCUGGAAGAGCAGCCACUGAGCCACUCUAGUCCAUGCAGUUUGCAUCUUGAACGGCCCUGCAAAGUACUGAAGACUUGGUCCCCAGAUGAUGUCACUAGGAAGGGCUUUGGCACCUUCCUAGUUCAAGGAGAGCCUACUGCAGAACCCAGAGAAUGGAACGAGUAAAUGUUUAUGCAUAUGGACUUAGCGUUCACAGUACACCGUGAGCCUAUGUUUAUGCAUAUGGACUUAGCGUUCACAGUACACCGUGAGCCUUUGAAUUCCCAGAAGGACACGCUAUCCCUGGAACUGAGAACCUGACUCAGGAGUGGCACGCUGUGGACAAGCAGGAGACGUCAUUCCAACCUGACAGACUGUCAUGAGAAUUAAGUGAAGAAAUCUGGAGCAGUAGGUCCAGGACCCUGCACACACAUCUCGUUAGAAUUGUCAUGUGCAGGGUCUUGGAAAAUAGCCAAGUGUUCAUGGUUUUCUUCUUGGAUCCUCACCGUAAUCUCAGGAGGCAGGCAGGUCCGACCAGAAGAAUUAAAGUCAUUUAAGAUUAUGUGGAUGAUCAUCAUGGGGGCUGGAAUCCGUCUUGCAGGUGUGUGCUGGAGUGUAAACAGCUGGAGUGUAAACAGCUGGAGGCCUGAGCUUGGGUUGAAUUCCUAUCUUUGCUCUGCCAUGAGCUAGCCCUGUGCUCCUGUGCAGAUCCUGUCUGUGUGCAUCAUGGGUAUUUCCUGUCUUACAGGUCAGUUGUGAGGAGUGGAUGAGCUAGUGCUAAUUAGACAUCCAGCAGAGCAUCCAGUGGGUGCUCAAUAAACGUUCAUGCCCA
rnacentral:lncRNA from 1 species